rnacentral:sRNA from 1 species
UGGAGCCAGGACUAUAAUAAAUGCUUGACUUAAUUUCAGAUAAACAUGAGUGAUAGAAAAUAAAACAGCCUAAGAAAUCCGGUGGAAGUACCUUUAUUUGAACUAAGUGGUCAGAUCCUACUUCCUCUAGAAAUGAUGAUUGAGGACAUUAGGAAUGUUGUGAUGUGACAUUACUGACUUUGAAUAGACUUCAAGUAUAGAUGCUUACAGCAUCAUUCCUGGUAGUUACUUCUAGACUUUGAAAACUAGCAUUAGAAUAGAAAGUUGUACUAGUGAGGUUCAAGGGAUGCAGAAGUGCCAGCCCUAGAGCUUGGAUCACAAUGCAUGAGUGUUAGGGCUUUAAGAGUCCUGAGGGUGGGGGAGCCUGAUUCCCUUCCUUUUCCUGUUCUGCUUUCCCAUCUUGUCUUCGUCCUCUAUGGGUCCUGGGAUCUUGUCCUUUCAGAUUGGACAUCUGUGGACUUCACUUUGAUGUGAGGAGAGAGUGUGGUGCCGACAGACCUCCAGUGCUAUCAGUGGAAUACUAGUGGAGUUUUAAUUCUGGUUAAGAGUUUGCAAUGGGGCCUUGCUGCAGUGUAACUGUGAAGGUGUUUUAAAGAAUCUUAAGAUUCAGCAUAGUGAAAUUGUGAAAACAGCAUGAUAAAUUGAGUAAAAUAAACUCAGGCAUAUUGUUGGUGGGCAAAAUUAGAAUCCUUCCCAAGUAUGAUUCAUGCUUCUUGGUUCCUUCCUGUUCUGUGUCCCCCUUCCUUUUUCUCCUCUCUACCUCUCUCCUCCCAGUCUCAGUUCCCCCUCCCUCUGCCCCCUCUCUCCUUCCCUUUUAAAGUGUUUCCUGUAGUUUAGGCUGACUUCAACCUUGAAUUUUCCAUCCUUCUCCUGUUUGCUGAGAUUAUAGGUAUAUGCUAGCAUCACCUUUGGCUCGUUUCCCUCUCUAGGUUUGGAAUGCACAAUGAUGAGACACAAAAACAUAAACAUCUCCAGAAAGAAGCUAUGACUGGAACACAGAGGACUACUAGAUUAAGUGGAAACAAUGCCCAGGCAUCCCAGUGCCCCCACUGAUGGUCCAGCUAUCAUCAAGAUGGUGACGAGUUACAUAUGACCUGGAGGAGGACUGUGCAGAGUACCUUCUAGCACCAUAAACACUAAUCAGUGAGCAAUGCUGAACUUCUAAUUAGGCAAGAGCUCAACCUCUUCAUGCUUGAGGACAUAAAGUUCAGGAUCAAGCUCAGAAGCUCACAGCUGCCAGCAGCACACUACUACUGCACUGUCUCCUUAGUCCAUGCUCACUCUUAAAUAGCCACAAAACACUCAGUGGUAUGGCAAAGGAAACCUCCAUUUCAUUUAGAUGUUUAUGAUAAUUUUUCCCACUUUAAUUAUUUUAUGUAGUUGAAUAUGAUUUUUUUUCCUAAGGAAUUUUUUUAUCUCAAUGUAAGACUCUUGAACCUUUAUGUUAUAUAUAAUUUCCUGUAGUUUUCAAAAUUGCUUUAAUAAAAAAGUUUAACUUUAAAA